AAUUUCAUAAAAAUAUCUAUAUGCGUCCACUUCUGUGAACAAACAGCGCUAAGUGAGCAGAGAACAAUGGCGUUCUUCUCAACGUUCCUUGAGAAGUG
rnacentral:lncRNA from 1 species